rnacentral:rRNA from 1 species
GGCCUGUUUUCUGGACCCAAGCCCGGCGCGAACAUAUAAAAUCCCGUCGGGCUUCGGGCCAGCCCGGCCCGACCUUCAGAAAAGUGCAAAAAUGACGGGCCUGGGCCCGGCCCGGCCCAGCCAUCGGGCUCAAAAUCUAGGCCCGAGCCCGGCUCGGGAGUAGCAUCGGGCCGGGCCGGGUCGGGAUUUUUCGAGUCGGGUCGGGCCGGGAUUCCCAUGGCCAGGUAUAAUGGCUUAUAGAUACAUAUCAGAAAUCUAUUGGUAGUUUACAUGUACUUUGUACACACUCCAACACAAUAAAACACAUACGAGACAUAAGGUUUUGUCUCUUCAGAGAGCACAAACCUGGGCGAAUUUUGUGUCCCUGGUAUCAUCGUCCCAUGAAGCCUAAUUUAGCAUCCCUACCAGGAGGUAUGCCAGAUUUAGCUCCGACACAGACAUGUAUGGAGCACGCAUCUGCCCAGCCGUGCUAGCUGUCUAAUUGCCCGCGAUCCAUAAAGUAGUUGGAUCCUGCAUGAGGCCACAACAAGUUUUAGGUUUUAGUUGCAGAAACAUACUCGGUCAUAGGUUCUGAAACUUAUAAAUUUUUCGGACGUUCUCACCAAGUUCCGAAGUUGAAACUAAAAAAUUAUGAUUUUGUUGGUCACAGGUUCUGAAACUUAUAAUUUUAUCGAUCUCUUGUACAAAUUUUCAGAAAAUGAAAGUUAACAAAAUUUUAAAAACUCAUCAAAAUGUCUUCAAAAUGGAUCUAAUUUGAAAGCCCUAGUCACCAGAAACAUGAAUAUGCAAACGAAACUUAAUUUAAAAUUUUGGUUCAAAAGAUAUGAAAGAUUGUAAAUAGAAAGUCAAAUGAAAAAGAGGGUUGCGUGCCCUCACCCAUGCGUGCUACAAAUCCUCUCCCCUCGCCUACCUAAGCUCAAACCCUUGCAACGCAUGCCACCUUCACAUCAACGACGACUAGACCUCCGCUCUGCUGACUUCCCUAGCAUGCGGCACCGCCACCAGCCCACCACCACUGGCCACCCUUGCGCAUGCCCAGUAACCACCGCAUCCUCUUCUAUGUAGACUUUGGGCGGUCACGAUCUACCAGGUGGUGGCCGGCCCCUAGCCAUGUCGCCCAAUCACUCUCGCCAACUCGUUGCCAUUCAAACAAUGCAUGUGCACCACUAGCCACCCUUGCGCAUGCCCAGUAGCCACCGCAUCCUCUUCUAUGUAGACUCUGGGCGGUCACGAUCUACCAGGUGGUGGCCGGCCCCUAGCCGUGUCGCCCAAUCACUCUCGCCAACUCGUUGCCAUUCAAACAAUACAUGUGCAUGCCAUGAAAAGUUGGUUGUUUAGGCCUCAAGAAAAAUCUUUUUUUCACAUGUACUUCAUUACUACUUUUACUGCAAGAAUAAUUUAUCUUCUUAAGACAUGUUCUACUGGUGAAUCGGUUUAAAACUUAGACAUGUUUUCAUGCCCUUAACUCUUGAUAAUUGCAUCUUAUAUUUAAAUCGGCUACGUAUGUUUUUGUUCAUCUAUGCAUAUAUUUUUCCGAAAAGGAGGUUGAACCCUGACCUCUGCACUAUGCACACUUUAUGAACAGAAUAUAUUUUCUCAAGAUAGUUUAGAUAAAAAGUAUCCCCGCAACCUACAAGCUUACAUGUAUAUAUUAUAACUGAUGUGUGAAAUAGAUCAAUUUCAUAUCACUGACCUACACAAAUAAGUUAUGUCCGACUCCGUCUACUGCUUAUGGUAUGGUACAUGGCGUACAUUAUUCCUUCACCCACUUUCCCACCCAUAUUAACAUCCACUCGCCUAUAUAAACUCCCCACUUGUUUGAUCAUGAAUUUUAUAUUCUACACUUCACGCUUACACCUUAGCAUGAACACAAUAGGUUUUCUUACACAUCACAAAAAUUAGAUGAUUAGUUAUAAGAGAGUGUCAAUGUUAUAUAUUCAUUUAAUGCUUAAAAUAGCGGUUCCCGGUCAAGAACAUGGCGAAGAGCUCUGACAAUGGAAGGCAUCGGGAUAAAUGAUAUGUUAGAGGGCGAAAAAAUGAGCAAACGAAAUGACAACUCGUUCAGAAUUCCAUGCCCAUAUAGUAUGAUAUUACGAUAUGUUAGGAUCGUCGAUAGACUCAUGCCUUGGCUUUCUGACAUUGCUCCUAGUUGCAUCGAUGACACAUGUACAACAGCAGACAAACGAUCAUCAUGCCAUGGAUAUUUUUGGUCAUAUUUGUGGCCUUUUUUCAGGACUCGAGAAAUUGAUAGGUCUGCCGACCGUGACUGUAAUACAUCCAUUUGUGUUUCUGAUGCCUUGUUAACUGGCUUCUUCUAAAAAAUUAUAAUAAUCCAUUGCUUAUUCUCGUUAUUAAACAGCAUUAUUUUUAAAUAAAAAUCAGUUUCCAUUUCUCGUGGGAGAAUACGGAAGCCAACGGAGCAGUGGAGGCGAGAGAGCUCAGCCCCAAGGGAGGAGAGGCAGCUGAGGCGCCACGUGUACCCAGCCGCUACCUCUUCCUCUUCCCCACCCAAACUCGUGAUACUGCUGUGUGCGCCACCGGCAACGAGACCCCCGGCCUAGAUGGCUUCCUCCAUGUUGGCCUCCCCGGCACCUCGCCCUCCCGCACGCGGCAACCGCCACCCUCGCACGUGCCCAGUAGCUGCCGCCGCCGCUGCAGUGCCGUGUCGUGCUGUCUCGGCGCCGCGGCGUGCUGCCGGGUGGUGGCCGCCCCCGCCGGCCCCUCGCUAGCUGGAUACGUGUUCGACGCCAUUUUGGCGGAUUUUUGUUAUGAAAUAUAAAAAAAAAUGGUGUCAAUAUGUAUGUGCAAGCAUGAAUAUGACCAAGAAUAAUAUGUUGAUAUUCAUCAAAGAGAGUCUUCAAGACCACGGAGCAGUGAUUAUUUAUGUCCACACAUACUUGACCUAAUCAACCUGAUUACCUAGCAUCCAGUUUGUACAUAGGCAUGCAAAAGAGUUAUGCACGGGCACAUCUCACGUACAAGUUAUGAUUAAGAUGGAGAUCCUAUGCGUGCAUGUGGCUAGCAACGAGCUAGUUGGCUCUGGACUAGCCAUGCAGUCCGAUCAGGCCAGGCCACUACGUGCCAGCCGCGACCGUGUGCAGCUCUAGCUGCUGCACCGCACGCACAAGAGAUAAGUUUCAUCAAAAGAGAUAACGAGCUUAUCAUCUCCAUAAGAAUAGGACCUGCCGAACAACUCUUCCGCGGCGCCCGUGCAGCUCGUUCAUAUCCAUUUCCGUAGGACCCUCGCCUAUAAAAGGCUGUGCAGAGCACACUGGGGAGGAGCGAAGUUGAAGGGGAGACACGCGCCCGUGGCGGCGGCGUUGGGGAGAACCCGGAGGCAAAAGCGAUCAGAUCGUACAUGAUCCCAUGAGAUCUCAAAGGUAGACGCUUCAGCGAGCCAAGGUGCGAGGUCGUGAACGACGCGCCCUAUCAGGAGAUGUACGCAGUCCGUGGCAGUGGUGGCGACAGCGGCAGCAACGGCGCGGAACCGUGGAGAACACAGCCGAUCGAUCACGAUGCACUUCUUCUUACUUCAUGGUUUAUCUAUAUAUACAUAUAUCUCGUUCUUUCCACUCCUAAUCUCUCAGGUGACGCAAGGCCGGGAAGUUGCGUCGCCAGCGGGGGCGCACACUUGGCCGCUUUAUAUGGACUUGUCCAAGCUAGCUCCACGAAAAUCAUCAUCUGGAGACAUCUUAUGCGGUAUGUACAUAUAUCUCGUUCUCUCCAUCCCUAAUCUUUCAGGUAAUCGACACGGAAAAAAGCAGCAAGAGGAGACCUCAAGGCCAUCGGGAGAUUACCCCGGGAGGAACCGAGCCAAGAGGAGACGCGCCUGCGGUGGCUGCGUCGAGGAUGUGACGACGCGUCGGCGGCAGCGCGCACGGCCACCCCACAUACGCAUGGAGGCCAACACACGCCCAGUUGGAGAUGCUCCCAUGGCGGCGGCGGCGAGGAGAUCGCGAGGACGUGCCCAUGGCAAAGGCAUGCUCGCCGAGCAGCGCAUACACCCUGGUCGUCCGGCGGCUGCAGAUACACGAAGGAGCCCGCACAACUGGCCCUAGCACUCAAGGCGGCCGCGGGCGCCACCUAUGGCGCCUUCUUCGAUCGGCGUCUUCAUCCAUCUAGACCACCACAAGGCUGGCGGCGUGUAGCAUGACACCAACUCCACCUCGGCGGUGACAUCGGAGAGGCCACCGGCGUCCAGCCCGUCGCCAUCUAUACCACUACAACGAUGUCAAAGCCGCUGACCUAUAGCCCGGCGCCAUCUACACCAUAUGCCAGCAUCGGGCCUGUCGCCAUCUACACCACCGCGACAACGUCCAAGCUGCCGGCCUACAGCCCGGCGCCAUCUCCAUCCCGCCAUCAUCAACCUGCACCAUAGUUGAGAGCGGCAACACCUCACGCCCAAGAGCUGGACAGAUGAUAUUCACGUACACAGGAAGAAGAAGCUCCGAUGACAUCUCCAUGGAGUCAACAAGACACUCGGUGGCAGCGACGUAGUACACGCUACAACAAAGCUCAAGAUGGCAGCGACCAGGUGCGCGCCCAUGAAGAUUGCAGACGAGGCGCCGAGACUAAGCAUGCCGGCGUCGACGACGGACUUGCGUGCAUACGUACUAGAGACGGAGUAACACAUGCAUCUUUCAGGAGAACCCGUGUAGCCACGAGGAGGAGGCGGACAUCUAAGACCGCGCCAUCAUCUACCUCAACAAGGGAAGAUCAAAAUCACGGCAUCCAUCUUCUUCAAUAGCAUGCCUACUCACACCAUCUUCUCUUUACCUCUUUCUCUCUUUUUAUCCCUGUCAUUUCAGCCCAUCCAGAGUUGAGCGACUGAUAGGACUCAUUAUGGAGAUGAUGGCCGGAUGAUUAGAGCUCGCCCGGUGCCACCAAAGAAGACGGAGGAGGAGUUACCCAUCGUCUUGGCAUCUUUAUCAACCUCGCCAAUGUCAUCAUCACCGACAUCAGGCUCGACGGUCAUUCAACUGCAUCAACUCUUCAUCCGAUGAGGACGACGUUUGCAUCAAUGCGCCGUCAUACGCCUACAUCGACUUCAUACCCGGGGUCGACACCGUUUACCGCGCCACGACAUCGCAAUCUUCAUCAACUCUUUGUUUGGCGAGGAUGUCCUCUACCUCGGCGCCACCGAACUUCGACAUGAUGAUAUUGCCAUCUUCUUUGACUUACUUCCUGGCGAGGAUGCCGACUGUAUCGGCACGCUACCAUCCUUCUACACCAACCGUCUGCACUAAGUGGAGGUCAUCACCGUAACUGGGACGUCCCGAGCUCUACAUCGGCAAGCUCGUCAUCUUCAAGCGAGGCCGCAUGCCAGGCGGCGACACUCAAGUCUACUCCAACUUCUACAUCAACUCUUCAUCUGACGAGGCGAAGCCACUUCACCGACAUGUCUUCUUUCGAUGAAGCUACCCAUAUCUCGCUGUGCACCGACGAGGCGAAGGCAAGCCACCAUGUCCGACACCAACGAGGCGGACACAACCAGGCCGGGCACCGACGAGGCGAAGGCCACCCAUCUGUCUGAGCUGACGAAGCCAGACAUCUUCAUCAUUGGACAUCGACAAGCCGGAGGGAUAUUGCAAGCAUUGUCGAAGCGAGGGAUGUACCGCUCCACCCUUCUAAUCAUCAUCUCCAUCAUCUACACCGACCACUUGAAGAAGACGAGACUUGAAGACGACGAUCAUUGCAGCAGCUUAAUCGGAGGUGGUCCGCGACUUCGACUCACGGACGUAAUUAAUCGGGAGCCUUCCGAGGCCCCGUGAACCAGAACUUCACAAUCGCCCAAGUCAUAUCGGCCGCGCUAGCAGGCCAUGGAGCGCUUAUGUAAAGAGAUCAUGUAAUUUGUUUCUCCUAUUAGAGAUUAAUAACAUACAAGUUUGCCUAUGUUUUUUGUGUAUUUAGUACACUGGCAC